CGGGACGUAGCUCAGCCCGGUAGAGCACUUGGUUUGGGGCCAAGACGUCGCAGGUUCAAAUCCUGUCGUCCCGACCA
rnacentral:tRNA from 2 species